UGGUGAUUUUUUUUUUUCUUCCCUAUUUAUUGUUCAACUGACUUAUUAGAUCGCAGCCCGCAGCCCGCAACCAGCAAAAUAUACACACUCAUAAGAUCCUGCAUGGAGAAGCAUCAGUCAUUAUCCCAGAUUACAUCAGGAGACCAACUGUAACAACCAGACAAUACCACAGAGACAGGUUUUCCAGAGUCAGCACUUCAAUGGAUGGCUAUAAAUACAGUUUCAUCCCCAGAACAAAUUUUUGACUGGAAGCAAUUACCUGAAAGUGCCAUCCAAGCCCCCACAACAGACGCCUUCCGGGUCUGUGUGUGGCAGUUACUGGCGUAACUAUUGAUACCUGAUUUUAACCCUGUACAGUUGUUGCAAACUCACAUAAUUUUAUUUGAUUUUGUUCCUGUAAAUACACAAGUUUUUGUUUAUUUUUAACUUGGCGUGUACUGGUUGACACACCCGCACAGUAUAUCUGUGUUAUGGAAAUUUCAACUGCAGAUUAACGACAAAAUAUAGAAGAAGAAGUACAAUAAACACUAGACAACAGGAAUGAUAGGAUAUAUCUUCUGGGGGAUGGAUGGUAACUGAAUCAAUACAAAUAGCCUCAUUGAAUUUGAAAAAAGCUGCAAAUGAUAUCAGUAACAAAAGAUUGUUAGUGUGCAGUGUGCAGUGUGCAGACAGUGGUUAAACAGAAGUUAACAUUCUAUUAGUUUUGGGAUUUUACAAUCAAUGCCAAAAUGAAUGAUUAUGCUAGAGGAAAUAAUAGGAGAAAAAGGGACCUGUGUGGUAAAAACUUCCUAAAAGUCGUCCUUUAUGUGUUCAACUUUUUCUUUUGGCUGACAGCCCGGUUAGCUUUCCUAGCAUUAGGGUUAUAUAUCAAGUUCCAGAAGCAUACCUAUAUCAAUCUGCUAGGGAACAGUACUUUCCCUUUGGCAACAUACUUGCUACUAGGAACAGGAGCCUUUAUUAUCUUGUCAGGAAUCAUUAGUUGUACUGGGACAUGUAUAGAAAAGAGAUGUUUUAUGGUUAUGGUUGGAAGAGACUGAUGAACUAUACAUAUCUGGGAUACAGAAUCAAUUAUGAAACAUCGUCAGUACUGAAAGGUCAACAUCAAAGAGGGGUCAGUGUGCUGUAGACUUCUCAGGUGAUGGUAAAGUUUCGCAUCAUUUGGUUUGGAUGACAACCAUCUUAUUUUAGUUUGAGACUGGAGAAAGGGAGAGAAAUUAACAUCUACCAGAUAAAAGAAGUCAUGUAUACAGACAACAUUUUGUAAAGAAGUCAUUGUCACAGGCCCAGGAAUGUAGAAAAGGCUUUUAUAAUUACAAAGAAGGAUUCUCAGAUUCUUGGGUG